rnacentral:rRNA from 1 species
AGUGAACGCUGGCGGUAGGCCUAACACAUGCAAGUCGAACGGCAGCACAGUAAGAGCUUGCUCUUACGGGUGGCGAGUGGCGGACGGGUGAGGAAUACAUCGGAAUCUACUUUUUCGUGGGGGAUAACGUAGGGAAACUUACGCUAAUACCGCAUACGACCUACGGGUGAAAGCAGGGGAUCUUCGGACCUUGCGCGAUUGAAUGAGCCGAUGUCGGAUUAGCUAGUUGGCGGGGUAAAGGCCCACCAAGGCGACGAUCCGUAGCUGGACUGAGAGGAUGAUCAGCCACACUGGAACUGAGACACGGUCCAGACUCCUACGGGAGGCAGCAGUGGGGAAUAUUGGACAAUGGGCGCAAGCCUGAUCCAGCCAUACCGCGUGGGUGAAGAAGGCCUCCGGGUUGUAAAGCCCUUUUGUUGGGAAAGAAAAGCAGCAGGUUAAUACCCCGCUGUUCUGACGGUACCCAAAGAAUAAGCACCGGCUAACUUCGUG